CGGAUGGGUGAGUAACACGUGGGUAACCUGCCCUAAAGUCUGGGAUACCACUUGGAAACAGGUGCUAAUACCGGAUAACAACAAUAGCUGCAUGGCUAUUGCUUAAAAGGCGGCGAAAGCUGUCGCUAAAGGAUGGACCCGCGGUGCAUUAGCUAGUUGGUAAGGUAAUGGCUUACCAAGGCGACGAUGCAUAGCCGAGUUGAGAGACUGAUCGGCCACAUUGGGACUGAGACACGGCCCAAACUCCUACGGGAGGCAGCAGUAGGGAAUCUUCCACAAUGGGCGAAAGCCUGAUGGAGCAACGCCGCGUGAGUGAAGAAGGUUUUCGGAUCGUAAAGCUCUGUUGUUGGUGAAGAAGGAUAGAGGUAGUAACUGGCCCCUAUUUGACGGUAAUCAACCAGAAAGUCACGGCUAACUACGUGCCAGCAGCCGCGGUAAUACGUAGGUGGCAAGCGUUGUCCGGAUUUAUUGGGCGUAAAGCGAGCGCAGGCGGAAAGAUAAGUCUGAUGUGAAAGCCCCCGGCUUAACCGAGGAAUUGCAUCGGAAACUGUGUUUCUUGAGUGCAGAAGAGGAGAGUGGAACUCCAUGUGUAGCGGUGGAAUGCGUAGAUAUAUGGAAGAACACCAGUGGCGAAGGCGGCUCUCUGGUCUGUAACUGACGCUGAGGCUCGAAAGCAUGGGUAGCGAACAGGAUUAGAUACCCUGGUAGU
rnacentral:rRNA from 1 species